rnacentral:rRNA from 1 species
UACGGAGGGUGCGAGCGUUGUCCGGAAUCAUUGGGCGUAAAGGGCGCGUAGGUGGCCCGGUCAGUCGAUGGUGAAAGCGCGGGGCUCAACUCCGCGUCGGCCGUCGAUACUGUUGGGCUUGAGCACUGUAGAGGCAGGCGGAACUCCGGGUGUAGCGGUGGAAUGCGUAGAGAUCCGGAAGAACACCGGUGGCGAAGGCGGCCUGCUGGGCAGUGGCUGACACUGAGGCGCGACAGCGUGGGGAGCAAACAGG